AUAGUCCUUCGGAAUUAGAGACCGGCGCACGGGUGCGUAACGCGUAUGCAAUCUANCUUUCACAGAGGGAUAGCCCAGAGAAAUUUGGAUUAAUACCUCAUAGUAUUAUGAAAUGGCAUCAUUUUAUAAUUAAAGUCACAACGGUGAAAGAUGAGCAUGCGUCCCAUUAGCUAGUUGGUAAGGUAACGGCUUACCAAGGCUACGAUGGGUAGGGGUCCUGAGAGGGAGAUCCCCCACACUGGUACUGAGACACGGACCAGACUCCUACGGGAGGCAGCAGUGAGGAAUAUUGGACAAUAGGCGCAAGCCUGAUCCAGCCAUGCCGCGUGCAGGAUGACGGUCCUAUGGAUUGUAAACUGCUUUUGCACAGGAAGAAACAACUCUACGUGUAGAGUCUUGACGGUACUGUGAGAAUAAGGAUCGGCUAACUCCGUGCCAGCAGCCGCGGUAAUACGGAGGAUCCAAGCGUUAUCCGGAAUCAUUGGGUUUAAAGGGUCCGUAGGCGGUUUAGUAAGUCAGUGGUGAAAGCCCAUCGCUCAACGGUGGAACGGCCAUUGAUACUGCUAGACUUGAAUUAUUAGGAAGUAACUAGAAUAUGUGGUGUAGCGGUGAAAUGCUUAGAGAUUACAUGGAAAUACCAUUGCGAAGGCAGGUUACUACUAANGNAU
rnacentral:rRNA from 1 species